ensembl:lncRNA
GUAAACAAGUUUAAUGUAGAUGUUAACCCAGUGCCAAAAGUAGGGUUACAAAUGUGGAGUACCUUUCAUUUCAGUCUUCUAAGCUUGCUUUUUUUUUUUUUUAAAGUAUGAAAUCAUUUUUAAAUUGUACAUGUAGGUUUUGCUUCCAUUUUCUUAAGUUUUAGCAUUUGAAUUGUUUGAAGAUUUUGCCAAACUUUAUUACUUUUCUUAAAUGAGCUCUUAGAUGAAAUGUAUAGCACACCCUUUAAUUUGACCUCCUAAUGUCUGUAGCUAACCAUCUGUCAUUGCUUCCUGGAUUUUAGACUAUGGCAAAACAGUGGAGCUUGCCCCUGCCUGUCCUGACGUGACUAGCUCUGAGUAGCCACACUGAAAUCCUUCAGUGUAAUUGACUGCAAGUUAAGAAGUAGCAGUUUUCUUAUGUCGAGGCAAUCUGUACUCCUCUCCAUUUUUUGGAAGCACUGAUGUUGCUUUUGGAGCUUAAGAAUGAGAUACAGCAGUUUGGCUGACUUGAGAUACAGCAAUUUCUUAAUUAUCUAAAGCAAUAAGUAAAAGGAUCCAUCAUUAGAUUCAGAGCUCAUCUCAGAACUUCAUUUUAGCCAAAACUUUCACUUUAAUCAUAUCUUCAGACUCACUAACAAAUAACCGGAGAGAGGUAUAUUAGUAAGUAAUGAAACUGCCAGUGGUGGUCAGCUGACAGAAGAGGAGGGAUUCAGACUGGAAUAUUCUGCCCUGAGUAAUUGACAGUUGACUGGACUUUACACAGUAACUAGCCGGUUUGUUGUCUCUGUGUCUUACUACAGAGGGAGUUGUACUCAACUGGCCAAAUUCUGGCCCUUAGUAUUUCCUCCUUUCUUGCAUGCGAUACCUAAGUUUUCAGUCUCCUUUAUAUGAUCCCUGUAUCCUGAUAGAGUGUGUCACUGACCUAAACAUUUGAAAGAAAUGUACACCAGUAUAAAAUAUUUGAUACUGGUAGAAACUUGAACUUUGUGUUUUUAUGAAAAUUCAUUUAUGAGAAUAUGUAAUAUAACUAAAAAGAGUGUUUUAUAUAUAUAUAUAUAUAUAUAUACAUACACGCAUACACAUUUGUUAAGAAGUAUUAAAAAUGUAAGAAUGUUACUCUUUUGAUGGCUAACUUUUCCUUAAUUGAAUUGUUUCUUUGAGUUGUGGACGACCAAGUCUGGAGUCUGGAUGACCAAUGAUAAGAUUUAGAACCACUUGAAUGGAAAGCAACUCUUUACUGGCUUUAUUCCUGAUAUUUUUAAAGAAUUAUUUUAAUAAUUUUAAUAGAAUGUGUAAUUUUAAAACACACAAAAAACUUAAAGUAGUAUUGCUUAUACAGAUAAUUAUUUAACAUGUCUUUUAUGGAUGUAUCUAUAUGUAUAUAGACAGUAAUAUAUUUAUAAAAUAAAUAUACUUUAUGUUGUAGUUGUUGUAAUAGAUGGGAGGAUGGAUGGCUCUGGAUAUGUCUGUGUGUGUUUUGAAAACUCGAGCUGUUUUUCCCCUGACUUAAUGGCAAUUACCCUAAGGGAUAUUUGCUUUUCAUUAUUCUUCUUGCUACUCAGCUUCCUUAUUCAAGAUAAAUAGGAUGUACAGUUUCCUGGCCAUUCUUUUAGAUGUGGCUCAUCCAUUUUAUUAUCAUCCAGCUCCUGGAGAAUUUCUGAGUGACCUAAAAUCAAACAGAUUAUGGCUGGAGAGAUCAGUUGUGUUCCAAAUAUGUUAAACACGGAAAUUCAGCUAGUAUGUUGAGUUUCCUUGUUAUACACCGAGAAAGCAGAGUGUCAAUAACAGUAGAGAAGUAAAUGCAUUAUUUUAUAUUGGUCUGGGAAACCCUGCAGGGCAAGGGUUGACAAACAUUUUCUGUAAAGGAUAGGAUAGUAAAUAAUCCAGGCUUUGAGGAUCAUAUGGUCUCUGUAAACCAUUCCCCUCAUCCCUUAAAGUGAAAGAAGCAGCCGCAGAAAAUACAUACAUGAAUGGGCAUGGCUGUAUGUCAGUUAUAUGCUCACAGAAAGGGGCUGCAGGCCAGAUUUGGCCCAGGGGCCAGAGUUUGCUGAUUCCUACCCUAGAGGGAGAAAAACAGGCAUAUUAAGCAGCAAAUACUGAUACACAUUAAGAAAUCAUACUUAUAUUUCAGUUGGCAUUCAAAGAAAAUCCACUAUUGAUGACCUUAAAAAGAUUUCUCAGAUAGUCACAUAUUAAAAGCAUCUUAAUUCACUUAUGUUUUCUGCCUGGUCACACCCAUUAUUUAGUAGAGAUAAUUUCUUGUUAACCAUCCAAAAAAAGAAUUCUGUAAAAAGAUGUUUUAAUAAAUAUUGGAAUUUUUUCAUGAACUUUAUACUGAUAAAUGGGAAUCCUUACCUACCUUUUGGUUUUUUAAGGGCCUCAUGGACCAAAAAUUCUGUUGUAUUUUGAAAAUUAGCAUAUAAUUAGCCAUAAAAUAUUUUAAAGACUGCAUUUAUCAGUUACAUUUUUCUGCUGGUUUUUGAUUUCUAAAAAAUGACAGAUUGGCCCUUCUUUAAAAAUGGUUUUAAAGAAGAUCAAUAUAUUUUAAGUUUACAUGCUGUAAACUUUAUUCUGUAAAAUUAAAAAUUGUGACUAGUAUAAUUGUGAGUGCACUUGUUGUAUUGUGAAUCUCUUUAUAAGAAACAAAAUGUAUACCUGCUUUCUCUAUCCAAACCUCUAGUAUAGAUUUAAGACACCUUAGGACUGUCCUCAGUGAAAUACUCUUAACAGGAUCAUGUAUGGUUUUAAAUUCAUUGGAGUACACCACUGAGCGUGUUCAUUCACAGCGCUUUGUAAAUGAUGUUAACAUCAUAAAAUCACAUCUGUUGGAAUAUUUUGAAUAUUGUCAUCCACUUAAGUUGCUAUAGUUUCUUUUAAGAUUGGAAUAUAACUCUAGUUUUAACGGGUGUUUACGGUUUUAAAUAUUUGUGUUUUUUUUUUUUUCUUUAAUGCCCUCUGUUAACCUGCUUUUUGCUUCUGUUACAAUAACACUUUGUUAUGUUGGGAGUGGCUUUUUCCCUAAAGCUCUUAGUCUUUCAGAUUGAAAAACAGUUUAAGGUUUUGAUCACUUGACAAUUUGGCAGUAAAAAAAGAAAUUCUGUGCGUGUUUCAGUUCAGUUUUAUAGAUAGUGUAAAAUUUCAUUUUUUAAACCAUAUACCGAAUUUGCCAAUUUUCUGUCUAGAUAUUUCAGAUGAAUAACAAAUUGUUCAUUUAAAGCUUUUGACCCCAUUCUUGAAGCAACUUGUGCCUCAAGGGAAGAUAACAUUGAAGAACAAUGGUUUGUUUUUAUAAAGAAUGUGUUUUAAAUAUGAAGACUUUCUUCAUUUGGGGGAAAUUAUAAACAUCUCAUCUAAUACAGAACACCCGUCAACGUGCACACUUCCACAAACAUGCGGACAUGGCAUUGCCAGUGAACCCAGUUAUGGACUUUAUCUUUUCCUUCUAGGUUUUAUCCUCCCAAAUCAGAGUCGUUUGCUGAGAGUAGAAAUUCCAAUUUGAUCCUUCAAACUUAUAAGAAAACAAGGCGAAGAAUAUGUUUAGAAUAACCAUCUGAUGAAUUCAUGUGAUUCUGUUUAUUCUAUGUCUGUUCUGUGUGUUUGUGUAGUGGGAUUUUUACAGCUCCAAAAAAGCAGUAUUUUAGACCUACCGGAAAUCCAUAUCAAAACAGCUAUGUGAUUCUGCCUCUGAGAAAAAAAUAUAUAUAUAUUAAAAAACUCAGUUUUCUU